rnacentral:rRNA from 1 species
GACGAACGCUGGCGGCGUGCUUAACACAUGCAAGUCGAACGGGAAUACUUUGAAAGCUUGCUGAUGAGUAUUUUAGUGGCGGACGGGUGAGUAACGCGUGAGGAGCUGUCUUAUGCAGGGGGACAACAGUUGGAAACGGCUGCUAAUACCCCAUAAGCCGAGAGGUAAAAGGAGCAAUCCGGCAGAGGAGGUACUCGCGUCCUAUCAGCUAGUAGGUUGGGUAACGGCCGACCUAGGCGAAGACGGGUAGCCGGCCUGAGAGGGCGAACGGCCACACUGGAACUGAGAUACGGUCCAGACUCCUACGGGAGGCAGCAGUGGGGAAUAUUGGGCAAUGGGGGGAACCCUGACCCAGCGACGCCGCGUGGGUGAAGAAAUCCUUCGGGAUGUAAAGCCCUGUUGUAUGGGAAGAGCAGAAGACGGUACCAUACGAGGAAGCCCCGGCAAACUACGUG